GGGGUGGUAGCCCAAUUAGGCAGAGGCAAUGGACUUAAAAUCCAUAAAGUGAGGGUUCGAAUCUCUCUCACCCUACCA
rnacentral:tRNA from 1 species